GAAAUGCGAUAAGUAAUGUGAAUUGCAGAAUUCAGUGAAUCAUCGAAUCUUUGAACGCACAUUGCGCCCGCUAGCACUCUAGCGGGCAUGCCUGUCCGAGCGUCAUUUCAACCCUCAGGCCCUAUGCUGCCUGGCGUUGGGGCAUCUACGGCACACGUAGGCCCUGAAAUUUAGUGGCGGUGCUCGCCAGCACUCCGGGCGCAGUAGUUUAUCCUCGCCCUGGACGUCUGGCGGCCUACCGGCCGUUAAACCCCCCAAAUAUACCACAGGUUGACCUCGGAUCAGGUAGGAAUACCCGCUGAACUUAA
rnacentral:misc_RNA from 1 species